rnacentral:rRNA from 1 species
CUACGGGUGGCACCAGGCGCGAAACCUUUACAAUGCACGAAAGUGUGAUAAGGGAACCCCAAGUGCUCAUGUAUAACAUGGGCUUUUGCCAAGUGUAAAUAGCUUGGAGAAUAAGUGGUGGGUAAGACUGGUGCCAGCAGCCGCGGUAACACCAGCGCCACGAGUGGGAAUCAGCAUUAUUUGGCCUAAAGCGUCCGUAGCUGGUUCAGCAAAUCUUUUGUGAAAUCAUGGGGCUUAACCUCAUGGCGUGCAGAGGACACUACUGAACUCGAGACCGGGAGGAGCAAGGGGUAUACCUUGGGGAGCGGUAAAAUGCUAUAAUCCAAGGUGGACCACCUGUGGCGAAGGCGCCUUGCUAGAACGGAUCUGACAGUGAGGGACGAAAGCUAGGGGAGCGAUCCGGAUUAGAUACCCCCGUAGUC